UACGUAGGGCGCAAGCGUUAUCCGGAAUUACUGGGCGUAAAGCGUGCGCAGGCGGUUUUGUAAGUCUGUCGUGAAAUCCCCGGGCUCAACCUGGGAAUUGCGAUGGAGACUGCAAGGCUAGAAUCUGGCAGAGGGGGGUAGAAUUCCACGUGUGAGCAGUGAAAUGCGUAGAGAUGUGGAGGAACACCGAUGGCGAAGGCAGCCCCCUGGGUCAAGAUUGGACGCUCAUGCACGAAAGCGUGGGGAGCAAACAGG
rnacentral:rRNA from 1 species